rnacentral:lncRNA from 1 species
UCACAAUUAAAAGUUUAUUUGCAUGGUACACAAUCAAUACUCUACACUUGAAAUUUUCUUGUCAUUGCAGUGGUACAGGAACUUUUUAAGAAAUCUUAAAGGAUUUGAACCUGCAUUAUCUCAUUAUUCUUACAUAACCUGUCAAUAAAUCAAUGCAUUUUGUAUAACUGGAGGCGCCUGCCAUAUUCUUAACUGUCUACCCUGACAAUAAAACUCACUUUAUCAUUCCCAAGCAUUUAAGACUCCACACCUUAACCUCCAAUGCAAUACAAAGCCUUCAUACUGCAGCAUCCCAUCUCUAAAAACCUACAAGAGUGCAAAUUGUCCCCAGCCCAGCCCACUGGCUAAUGUAUGGGAUUUUAGGUUACCCAUUGGGCUUCCCUUCUUUCAUACACAACCUUGGCCCUGACAAUUAGAGCAUCCACAGCCUCUGAUCACCUGUGCAAAGGGAAGAGGAACAUGAUGUCAGCAAAUGGUCUGUAGCACAAUGUGAAUGAAAGCAAAAUCUCAACCCACAACAGAAGUGGAGGAUGCAUGUUGAGGCCCAGCUGGAAUGAUGCAGGAACAUCAAGUGGCACAGCACAGAGGCUCAGCCAGGGCACCCGCUGCAGAACAGUGACAUGACAAGAAUGUUGCACAAUGGGGACACUUGCAAGGUAGAGCUGAUGUGCAGCCAAGAGAACAAGAGAUGUGCAAGGAAAGGCUGUGGCCAGCCUGCCACAGCUGCAUGCCAUGUGUGGUGUCACAGGAUGAAAGGGCUGAACCUGAGCACUUCCAUACUCACAGCCACCUCAGCUGAGUGCUGGGGGACACAGCCUGCAGGCUGGCUAGAGGCAGGCCCUCACUCAGAUCUGGUAGAGGCUCUGGGAGCCACAUGCCAAGGAAUCGCACCUCAAUACUCAUUUGCCCAAGCAAUGGUGCUUUAGCAUGCCAGCAACCUCCUCCCCAGGGCUAUGGGCAUGGAAAGUCAGUUUUCAGUUCUUCCCCAAGAUGGACAAAGAGUUUAAUUCCAGUUCAAAGGAUUGGAAGGUGUUUAAAUACAAUAAAAAUUUACACAAACACACAGCGACUGAAAGAGCAGAGGCAGUGCCAGGAACAGCCUGCAGUGUGAGGGGAAGGGUUUCACCUUCCACAGAUUCUAGCCCCAGAUUCAGGUACUUCCACGUGCUCCCCAGCAAAGUUCUUUGAAGCAGCAAUGUUCUGAUACAUUAAGAACUCCUUCUUGAACACCUCAGAAUAAUUCUCACACUUCUGUCUUCUACUGUUGCCUCCUCCAAAACUCUAUCCCUCAAGCCCAGAAAAAAAGACAAACUCCACUUAAAAAAAAAAAAAAAA